rnacentral:rRNA from 1 species
AGGCUGUCUCCACCCGAGACUCAGUGAAAUUGAACUCGCUGUGAAGAUGCAGUGUACCCGCGGCAAGACGGAAAGACCCCGUGAACCUUUACUAUAGCUUGACACUGAACAUUGAGCCUUGAUGUGUAGGAUAGGUGGGAGGCUUUGAAGUGUGGACGCCAGUCUGCAUGGAGCCGACCUUGAAAUACCACCCUUUAAUGUUUGAUGUUCUAACGUGGACCCGUAAUCCGGGUUGCGGACAGUGUCUGGUGGGUAGUUUGACUGGGGCGGUCUCCUCCUAAAGAGUAACGGAGGAGCACGAAGGUUGGCUAAUCCUGGUCGGACAUCAGGAGGUUAGUGCAAUGGCAUAAGCCAGCUUGACUGCGAGCGUGACGGCGCGAGCAGGUGCGAAAGCAGGUCAUAGUGAUCCGGUGGUUCUGAAUGGAAGGGCCAUCGCUCAACGGAUAAAAGGUACUCCGGGGAUAACAGGCUGAUACCGCCCAAGAGUUCAUAUCGACGGCGGUGUUUGGCACCUCGAUGUCGGCUCAUCACAUCCUGGGGCUGAAGUAGGUCCCAAGGGUAUGGCUGUUCGCCAUUUAAAGUGGUACGCGAGCUGGGUUUAGAACGUCGUGAGACAGUUCGGUCCCUAUCUGCCGUGGGCGCUGGAGAAUUGAGGGGGGCUGCUCCUAGUACGAGAGGACCGGAGUGGACGCAUCACUGGUGUUCGGGUUGUCAUGCCAAUGGCACUGCCCGGUAGCUAAAUGCGGAAGAGAUAAGUGCUGAAAGCAUCUAAGCACGAAACUUGCCCCGAGAUGAGUUCUCCCUGACUCCUUGAGAGUCCUGAAGGAACGUUGAAGACGACGACGUUGAUAGGCCGGGUGUGUAAGCGCAGCGAUGCGUUGAGCUAACCGGUACUAAUGAACCGUGAGGCUUAACCUUACAACGCCGAAG